rnacentral:lncRNA from 1 species
AAGUUUAGUCGAUAGCGCCUAGCAACAAAACAUGUUGAAACUAGAUUCAGUGUCAAAGUUUCCGGGUUUCCAGCUAAAAUGGAUCAUAUUUUUUUGGAACAUUGGCCAUUGUCGGCCUUGGGAAUCAUUCCGACGGUCAAGGAUUGAGUGUAAAUGGACAAAACGCAAUUACUCCCGGCGUUCCAGGUUGUGGUCAGCCGUCACAAAUUCCGAAAUUGGGCGUUGGCAUUUCGAAGUGUGUUUUCCCCCCAAGGACGCGGCGAUGACCAGGCAAGAGUGGAACUGGUCUGUUUUCAAACUCAACGAAAUUGUAAGAUCAAGCUGGCUAGCAACCUGAAUCCGGAAGCAGGCAUCCGCUGUUGGGAGAAUCUUCGGCGGAGAGCAGAUUUCAGCUUCACAAGCGCAAGGAAAUUUGAGUGAAUAUCAUUGUGAAAAUUUAUCAUAAGAAUCUGCACUGUAAACAUUAGUAAUGUUGUGAAUAAAGAAAAACUUAGUUUUCUUGUUU